GCCUACGGCCAUACCACGUUGAAAGCACGCCAUCCCGUCCGAUCUGGAAAGUUAAGCAACGUUGGUCCUGGUUAGUACUUGGAUCGGAGACGGCUUGGGAAUCCCGGGUGUCGUAACCU
rnacentral:rRNA from 1 species